rnacentral:rRNA from 1 species
UACAGAGGUGGCAAGCGUUGUUCGGAAUUACUGGGCGUAAAGGGCGAGUAGGCGGCCUUCUAAGUCAGACGUGAAAUCCCCCGGCUUAACCUGGGAACUGCGUCUGAUACUGGAGGGCUUGAGUGCGGGAGAGGGAUGUGGAAUUCCAGGUGUAGCGGUGAAAUGCGUAGAUAUCUGGAGGAACACCGGUGGCGAAGGCGGCAUCCUGGACCGACACUGACGCUGAGGCGCGAAAGCUAGGGUAGCAAACGGG